rnacentral:rRNA from 1 species
GACGAACGCUGGCGGCGUGCUUAACACAUGCAAGUCGAACGAACAGACGCGGAUCUUGCUGGUCUGACGUUUGCGGCAGGCGUGUGUGUAACGCGUGUAUCCCCUACCUAUAAGACUGGGAUCACUUCGGGACACCGGAUCUUAUACCGGAUAAUCUAUUGAUCCGCAGGGUGCAAUAGUGAAAGGCGGUUUUGGUGUCACUUAUAGAUGCAUCCGAGCCGCUUUAGCUAGUUGGUAAGGUAAAGGCUUACCAAGGCGACGAUGCGUAGCCGACCUGAGAGGGUGAUAGGCCACACGGGAACUGAGACACGGUCAAGGCGCCUACGGGAGGCAGCAGUAGGGCAGCGGCCGCAAUGGGCGAAAGCCUGACGGAGUGACGCCGCGUGAGUGAUGGAGGUCUUGGGAUCGUAAAGCUGUGUUAUUAGGGAAGAACAAAUGUGGACGUAACUAUGCACGUCGUGACGGUACCUGGUAAAGAAGCACCGGCUAACUACGUG